AUGGACAAGCUGGUGCAGUUCGGGAGGAAGGCAUGGUUCGUGGUGCGGGUCAUGUCCGGCUACGAGGAGAGGAGGAUCCGGUCCUACAGGCUGCAGCUGCAGCAGCGCCUCCAGCAGGCUCAGGCUAAGAAGAAGGAGAUUGAGAAACAACCAGAGCAAGUUAUUCUGUCAGAGGUUCGUCAAGUGGUUCAGCAGAUGCAAGCUCUCAAUCAGCACCUCGAAGAAGCUGAAACUGCCAUAGACGAGUAUUUCAAACCGAUCGACAAGAAUGCUCAGAUCUUAACAGACAUGCAAAUGGAGAAAGAAGAGAAGCAAAUGAAGGAGAUGCUCCAAGUAAUGCGAGGCCAAAUAGAAAUGCAAAGAGAAAUCGAGGCGAGGAAAGCCGAGGCCAGUGCCGUGGAGCCUGUCAACACCCAAGCGAGUGCAACAACGGCCGAGAUUCCUCCAAAACAAGAAAACACUAAAUAG
rnacentral:rRNA from 1 species